UUUGAAAUAGAAUCUAGAUAUCUUUGUCAUUCUUUAUAAACCACCAUCGGUACAAUUCUUAGCAUGCUAGGCUGACUCGUGGGCCAAUGGUAGUUAAAAGUUCCACGGUCCUACAAGUUAUGUCCAGUUGAAUGGCUUAUGUCACGUUAUGGGUUCAUUUAGUCAUAGGAAUGGCAAGGUCAGUCAAUAUCCAAACCUGUUCC
rnacentral:lncRNA from 1 species